rnacentral:rRNA from 1 species
GUCUCUCUUGAGUGGAUCCUGAGUACGACGGAGCACGUGAAAUUCCGUCGGAAUCUGGGAGGACCAUCUCCUAAGGCUAAAUACUCUCUAGUGACCGAUAGUGAACCAGUACCGUGAGGGAAAGGUGAAAAGCACCCCGGAAGGGGAGUGAAAUAGAACCUGAAACCGUGUGCUUACAAGUAGUCAGAGCCCGUUAAUGGGUGAUGGCGUGCCUUUUGUAGAAUGAACCGGCGAGUUACGAUUUGAUGCAAGGUUAAGCAGUAAAUGUGGAGCCGUAGCGAAAGCGAGUCUGAAUAGGGCGUUUAGUAUUUGGUCGUAGACCCGAAACCAGGUGAUCUACCCUUGGUCAGGUUGAAGUUCAGGUAACACUGAAUGGAGGACCGAACCGACUUACGUUGAAAAGUGAGCGGAUGAACUGAGGGUAGCGGAGAAAUUCCAAUCGAACCUGGAGAUAGCUGGUUCUCUCCGAAAUAGCUUUAGGGCUAGCCUCAAGUGAUGAUUAUUGGAGGUAGAGCACUGUUUGGACGAGGGGCCCCUCUCGGGUUACCGAAUUCAGACAAACUCCGAAUGCCAAUUAAUUUAACUUGGGAGUCAGAACAUGGGUGAUAAGGUCCGUGUUCGAAAGGGAAACAGCCCAGACCACCAGCUAAGGUCCCAAAAUAUAUGUUAAGUGGAAAAGGAUGUGGCGUUGCCCAGACAACUAGGAUGUUGGCUUAGAAGCAGCCAUCAUUUAAAGAGUGCGUAAUAGCUCACUAGUCGAGUGACACUGCGCCGAAAAUGUACCGGGGCUAAACAUAUUACCGAAGCUGUGGAUUGUCCUUUGGACAAUGGUAGGAGAGCGUUCUAAGGGCGUUGAAGCAUGAUCGUAAGGACAUGUGGAGCGCUUAGAAGUGAGAAUGCCGGUGUGAGUAGCGAAAGACGGG